rnacentral:rRNA from 1 species
UUGUCCGGAAUUCAUGGGCGUAAAGGGUGUGUAGGCGGUUAAGUAAGAUAGUGGUGAAAUGCCGGGGCUCAACCUCGGAAUUGCCAUUAUGACUAUUUAGCUAGAAUGAUGCAGAGGAUAGCGGAAUACCCAGUGUAGAGGUGAAAUUCGUAGAUAUUGGGUAGAACACCAGAGGCGAAGGCGGCUAUCUGGGCAUUGAUUGACGCUGAGGCACGAAAGCAUGGGGAUCAAACAGGAUUAGAUACCCUGGUAGUCCAUGCUGUAAACGAUGAAUGCUAGUUGUUGGAGGAAUUCAGUGACGCAGUUAACACAAUAAGCAUUCCGCCUGGGGAGUACGGUCGCAAGAUUAAAACUCAAAGGAAUUGACGGGGACCCGCACAAGCGGUGGAGCAUGUGGUUUAAUUC